CAAAAAAGAAGGAAGAAGUGAAGAAAGAUUCAGCAAAAGAAUAUGUGAUCAAUCCAUUGAUGUUCUAUGGAAUUCAUGCCUAUUACAAUCAUUUGAUGAAACCACAGUAUAAUCCUUAUUACACUGCUAUAGGCGUUAAAGAGGACCAUGGUUUUAAAUUGCAGACCGUAUCACGUGAUGCGGCCGCAAUAUUGCGGUUGCGGUAG